GAUGAACGCUGGCGGCGUGCCUAAUACAUGCAAGUCGAGCGAACGGACGAGAAGCUUGCUUCUCUGAUGUUAGCGGCGGGCGGGUGAGUAACACGUGGAUAACCUACCUAUAAGACUGGGAUAACUUCGGGAAACCGGAGCUAAUAACGGAUAAUAUUUUGAGCCGCAUGGUUCAAAAGUGAAAGACGGUCUUGCUGUCACUUAUAGAUGGAUCCGCGCUGCAUUAGCUAGUUGGUAAGGUAACGGCUUACCAAGGCAACGAUGCAUAGCCGACCUGAGAGGGUGAUCGGCCACACUGGAACUGAGACACGGUCCAGACUCCUACGGGAGGCAGCAGUAGGGAAUCUUCCGCAAUGGGCGAAAGCCUGACGGAGCAACGCCGCGUGAGUGAUGAAGGUCUUCGGAUCGUAAAACUCUGUUAUUAGGGAAGAACAUAUGUGUAAGUAACUGUGCACAUCUUGACGGUACCUAAUCAGAAAGCCACGGCUAACUACGUGCCAGCAGCCGCGGUAAUACGUAGGUGGCAAGCGUUAUCCGGAAUUAUUGGGCGUAAAGCGCGCGUAGGCGGUUUUUUAAGUCUGAUGUGAAAGCCCACGGCUCAACCGUGGAGGGUCAUUGGAAACUGGAAAACUUGAGUGCAGAAGAGGAAAGUGGAAUUCCAUGUGUAGCGGUGAAAUGCGCAGAGAUAUGGAGGAACACCAGUGGCGAAGGCGACUUUCUGGUCUGUAACUGACGCUGAUGUGCGAAAGCGUGGGGAUCAAACAGGAUUAGAUACCCUGGUAGUCCACGCCGUAAACGAUGAGUGCUAAGUGUUAGGGGGUUUCCGCCCCUUAGUGCUGCAGCUAACGCAUUAAGCACUCCGCCUGGGGAGUACGACCGCAAGGUUGAAACUCAAAGGAAUUGACGGGGACCCGCACAAGCGGUGGAGCAUGUGGUUUAAUUCGAAGCAACGCGAAGAACCUUACCAAAUCUUGACAUCCUUUGACAACUCUAGAGAUAGAGCCUUCCCCUUCGGGGGACAAAGUGACAGGUGGUGCAUGGUUGUCGUCAGCUCGUGUCGUGAGAUGUUGGGUUAGGUCCCGCAACGAGCGCAACCCUUAAGCUUAGUUGCCAUCAUUAAGUUGGGCACUCUAAGUUGACUGCCGGUGACAAACCGGAGGAAGGUGGGGAUGACGUCAAAUCAUCAUGCCCCUUAUGAUUUGGGCUACACACGUGCUACAAUGGACAAUACAAAGGGCAGCGAAACCGCGAGGUCAAGCAAAUCCCAUAAAGUUGUUCUCAGUUCGGAUUGUAGUCUGCAACUCGACUACAUGAAGCUGGAAUCGCUAGUAAUCGUAGAUCAGCUUGCUACGGUGAAUACGUUCCCGGGUCU
rnacentral:rRNA from 1 species